CGCUUGGUGCCGGAGCCGGGGGACCGGGCCAGCGGCGCGCGGAGCUGUGAGUAUCCCCCGGCCCGUCCCCGACCUCCGCGGACCCCCCGCCCCGUUCUCGCGGAGCGCCCGGGCUCCCGUGUGUUCGGCGGCUGCAGGAGACGCUCCCUGCUGUCCCGCGCGUUUGCCUGCGCCGGUCUACACCGCAGGCCCCGUCUACACCGCACGCCGACUCUUCCGGCUCCUGCUCCAUCGUCUCCUGCCGCCCAGUAUCUGCUGUCCACGCCCUCCCUUCAUGGCCCGAAACCUGCCGCGGGGGGCGGGGGCAGCUUCCGGAGGAACCGGGGUCGUCAGCGGCUCCUCGCAGGUGCGCAACCCUGGGGGCAGGAGGAAAGGGAAUCCCCGGGGGCAAGAUCCUGGCGGCCCAAGAGCUUUUAUUCCCGCGACUUGGGAGCCCCGCCGGGGGCACAGAACACCCAUUCACCAAGCUGGCCGACGAGACCGUCCUAGACGGAUCAAGAAUGGGCAGAGGCUGAAGCAGGGCAGCAGCGUAAAGAUGGCGGGAUACCUCCUGAGGACGAGACAGUGAAUGAGUUCUACCCACGUCCAAUACCACCCUCUCCCCCCACCCCACCUCCACUGCUCUGAGAAAAGGCUACUCUCUCAAAGAGAAUGAUGGCUUCUUGGAGAGGAGUGAUCAUACGGUGAUUUCAUUGACCCCAAGAAUACCUGAAUUGGGGAAGCUGUCUUUGAGAGCCAGGAAGCCCUUAUCCCAGCUCCCCAGCCACCUAUGACGGAGGAGAGGCCACCUGUACUACCGCCACAGCUCCCCACCCCUGCCACACAGCAGCGCGGAGAGCCCACUGCAGGCAAGGCACCACAUCCACAAAUUUGACAGAAGAAACAGCAGGGGGAAAAGCUACACUGUCUGUUGCCUGCUCUCAGAUCGUCCCAGAUCAGGUCAGAGAACUCUAGCUGGCUGGGGCUGGCUAAGUAAGACCCUCCAAGACAGGGUAUCAAUCCAACCAGAGAAAAAUAUUCUCAGAGAAACUGAAAGGGACUGCAGACGGACUCUCUGGCCUUUAGAUUCAGAGGCCCAGAAUCUGUGCUUCACGCAGACAAAAUACACAAUAGGAGAAAUGGCCUCGGGUUAGCCCUUCCUCUCUAGAAACGAUUAGUUCUUCCCAAACUACAAAUACUAAAAACCUGUCUGCUUACAUAUGACAACUCGUUCAUUUGGGAUUUUACUUAGAGGCUCCCCCUGAAGCCACAGCUGCCGAGAGCAGCCACCCCGUCUUCAUCAUCUGGAGAAGGUACUUCCCUCUCACUUACCGGGUA